UAGCUCAGUGGAUAGAGCGUCAGCCUGUGGACUGAAGGGUCCCAGGUUUGAUUCCUGG
rnacentral:tRNA from 1 species